rnacentral:rRNA from 1 species
UACGGGGGGAGCAAGCGUUGUUCGGAUUUACUGGGCGUAAAGGGAGCGUAGGCGGACAUUUAAGUCAGAGGUGAAAUCCCGGAGCUUAACUUCGGAACUGCCUUUGAUACUGGGUGUCUUGAGUGUGAGAGAGGUAUGUGGAACUCCGAGUGUAGAGGUGAAAUUCGUAGAUAUUCGGAAGAACACCAGUGGCGAAGGCGGCUCACUGGCCCGGUACUGACGCUGAGGUGCGAAAGCGUGGGGAGCAAACAGG